GCCCAACUGAUUGGACGUGCUUGCACGGACUUGACGUUGGUUUACCAGCGAGUGGCGGACGGGUGAGUAACACGUAGGUAACCUGCCCCAAAGCGGGGGAUAACAUUUGGAAACAGAUGCUAAUACCGCAUAACAAUUUGAAUCGCAUGAUUCAAAUUUAAAAGAUGGCUUCGGCUAUCACUUUGGGAUGGACCUG
rnacentral:rRNA from 1 species